AUACGGAGGGUGCAAGCGUUAUUCGGAAUCACUGGGCGUAAAGGACGCGUAGGCGGGUUGGCAAGUCAGAUGUGAAAUCCUACAGCUUAACUGUAGAACUGCAUUUGAAACUGCUAACCUAGAGUAUGGGAGGGGCAGAUAGAAUUAGUGGUGUAGGGGUAAAAUCCGUAGAUAUCACUAGGAAUACCGAAAGCGAAGGCGAUCUGCUGGGACAUUACUGACGCUGAGGCGUGAAAGCGUGGGGAGCAAACAGGAUUAGAUACCCUAGUAGUCC
rnacentral:rRNA from 1 species